rnacentral:misc_RNA from 1 species
GAUGAAGAACGUAGCGAAAUGCGAUAAGUAAUGUGAAUUGCAGAAUUCCGUGAAUCAUCGAAUCUUUGAACGCACAUUGCGCCCCCUGGUAUUCCGGGGGGCAUGCCUGUCCGAGCGUCAUUGCAACCUUCAAGCGCGGCUUGUGUGUUGGGUCUCGUCCCCCGUGGACGGGCCCGAAAGGCAGUGGCGGCGUCCCGACAUGGUGCCCGAGCGUAUGGGAAUCCUCUUCCGCUCGAAUCGGCCCAUGCGGCGCUGGUCGUAACCAGAUUUUUUACCGGUUGACCUCGGAUCAGGUAGGGAUACCCGCUGAACUUAAGCAUAUCAAUAAGCGGAGGA